UUGACCCAAAGUUUAUUACGAAAUCAGAGGUCACUAGAGAUAAACCCUGUCAUAGCUUUUCUGAAGGAUGAUUACAGGCAGUUCAGCUUCUGAGGAGGAUCCAGUGCGUGCGAGAAGUCUGAUCCGUGCAAACCUUGAGAAGCCUAGUGUGUUGCUUCGGAGUAGGAUGCCGAACAUCAAAGUUUUUAGUGGUACAUCGCAUCCAGACCUUGCGCAGCGGAUUGUCGACCGUCUUGGAAUAGAUCUGGGAAAAGUCGUUACUAAGAAAUUUAGUAACCUUGAGACAUGCGUAGAGAUUGGAGAAUCAGUCCGUGGGGAAGAUGUGUAUAUUGUUCAAAGUGGAAGUGGCGAAGUAAACGAUAACUUAAUGGAAUUGUUGAUUAUGAUAAACGCUUGUAAAAUAGCGUCUGCUUCUCGAGUGACUGCUGUCAUUCCAUGUUUCCCAUACGCAAGACAGGAUAAGAAAGACAAGGCUGGUGGAGAUGGGGAAAGUAACGGAAAUGAUGUUACUCCUUUCAGAUUGAAACCCAACAACGAAUGGAAGUUUCGGAGCCGAGCACCGAUAUCAGCCAAGUUGGUGGCAAAUAUGUUAUCUGUGGCUGGUGCUGAUCACAUUAUUACAAUGGAUCUCCAUGCAUCUCAAAUACAGGGAUUCUUUGAUAUCCCUGUAGAUAAUCUGUAUGCAGAACCAGCUGUUUUGAAAUGGAUUAAAGAAAACAUAGUAGAAUGGCGUAACAGUAUUAUAGUAUCACCAGAUGCUGGUGGUGCCAAAAGGGUUACAUCCAUAGCUGAUAGGCUGAAUGUUGAAUUCGCACUUAUCCAUAAAGAACGCAAAAAAGCAAAUGAAGUUGCAGCAAUGGUGCUGGUUGGAGAUGUGAAAGACAGAGUUGCCAUAUUGGUAGAUGACAUGGCUGACACUUGUGGUACAAUUUGUCAUGCUGCUGAAAAGCUUCUGGAAGCUGGUGCAACCAAGGUUUAUGCUAUCUUAACUCAUGGUAUAUUUUCGGGGCCUGCAAUAUCAAGAAUAAACAAUGCAUGUUUCGAAGCAGUAGUUGUAACCAACACUAUCCCACAAGAGCAACACAUGAAGGACUGUCCUAGGAUACAGUGCAUUGAUGUGUCAAUGAUGUUUGCUGAAGCAGUCCGUAGGACACACAAUGGAGAAUCAGUAUCAUAUCUAUUUUCAAAUGUACCAUACUGAAGAAAUAUAGAUACUGUGGACAUGGAAUGUUGAACGAGGUUAUAAAAGAAUCUCAUAACCAAAAGUAGAUAAUUACUGAAGAAUCAAUAAAGAGAAUAUUGUUCAUAGUUGUAAUAAGCUGGCUUUCAGUUUUAUUUGAGACCUGUCUUUUACAAAGAACAUUUGAGAAACCUUGUAAUUGAUUGCUUGUCAGCAAACUUAUUUUGUGUAUGUGAUGACUUAACAGUUAUUCUGUUUAAAAUGAACUGUCUAAAGAUGUUUUUAUAUGCAUUGUUGUACACUUUGUAUCAUUUUACUUAUACUUCGUCUGCUGAAUAAAUAUCAGUUCUUAUAUUC
rnacentral:misc_RNA from 1 species